GGCGCAGUAGUCUAAGACACUGCAUUUCAGUGCAAGAGGUGUCACUGCAGUACCUGGUUCAAAUCCAGGCUGCAUCA
rnacentral:tRNA from 1 species